rnacentral:rRNA from 1 species
GAUGAACGCUGACAGAAUGCUUAACACAUGCAAGUCGAUGGGGAAGUGGUGCUUGCACCCUGGUAACCAUGGCGGACGGGUGAGUAACGCGUAAGGAACUUGCCUGCGGGACUGGGAUAACAGCAGGAAACUGCUGAUAAUACCGGAUAAGGUCAUUAAGCUGCAUAGCUUAGUGAUGAAAGGAGACGCCUGCGGAGAGCCUUGCGUCCUAUUAGCUAGUUGGAGGGGUAACGGCCCACCAAGGCGAAGAUAGGUAGCCGGCCUGAGAGGGUGGACGGCCACAAGGGGACUGAGAUACGGCCCUUACUCCUACGGGAGGCAGCAGUGGGGAAUAUUGGACAAUGGGGGCAACCCUGAUCCAGCAAUUCUGUGUGCACGAAGACGGUUUUCGGGUUGUAAAGUGCUUUCAGCAGGGAAGAAGGAAGUGACGGUACCUGCAGAAGAAGCGACGGCUAAAUACGUG